UACAGAGGUCUCAAGCGUUGUUCGGAUUCAUUGGGCGUAAAGGGUGCGUAGGCGGCGCGGUAAGUCGGGUGUGAAAUCUCGGGGCUUAACUCCGAAACUGCAUUCGAUACUGCCGUGCUUGAGGACUGGAGAGGAGACUGGAAUUUACGGUGUAGCGGUGAAAUGCGUAGAUAUCGUAAGGAAGACCAGUGGCGAAGGCGGGUCUCUGGACAGUUCCUGACGCUGAGGCACGAAGGCCAGGGGAGCAGACGGG
rnacentral:rRNA from 1 species